GUCAACAUACGCCGCAACUCUCAUCUCUCAUCUCUCACCUCUGAACUCUCAACUAUCAACUAUCAUCGCUCGUCAGUCAACUCUCGUCUCUCAACUCUCAGUUACUACUUACGCGAUGCCACAUGAAUAACAUGAUACCCCUCUGCCCUUUGUAAACAACGAGCUCAUGAACGGUACUUACUUUUCCAAGUGCUAGUUAUUAAUUUGGUCAUUUCUCUAGCGUUAAUUUAACAAGCACAAAUGUGAAUUGCAAUGUUCAUAAUACUGCUUUGCUUAUGGCCAUGCCUGAUGCCACAGCCCACAACCACAGGCCACUGUUAAUUAAAUUUGGUUAAACCGAAAACCAAACCGAAAUAAACCGAACCGAAAUUGUAAUAACCGAACCAAACCGAAUUUAUUUCAAUUUGGUUUGGUUUCACAUUUUUGUCA